AGUGAACGCUGGCGGUAGGCCUAACACAUGCAAGUCGAACGGCAGCACAGUAAGAGCUUGCUCUUACGGGUGGCGAGUGGCGGACGGGUGAGGAAUACAUCGGAAUCUACUUUUUCGUGGGGGAUAACGUAGGGAAACUUACGCUAAUAACGCAUACGAACUACGGGUGAAAGCAGGGGAUCUUCGGACCUUGCGCGAUUGAAUGAGCCGAUGCCGGAUUAGCUAGUUGGCGGGGUAAAGGCCCACCAAGGCGACGAUCCGUAGCUGGUCUGAGAGGAUGAUCAGCCACACUGGAACUGAGACACGGUCCAGACUCCUACGGGAGGCAGCAGUGGGGAAUAUUGGACAAUGGGCGCAAGCCUGAUCCAGCCAUACCGCGUGGGUGAAGAAGGCCUUCGGGUUGUAAAGCCCUUUUGUUGGGAAAGAAAAGCAGCAGGUUAAUACCCCGCUGUUCUGACGGUACCCAAAGAAUAAGCACCGGCUAACUUCGU
rnacentral:rRNA from 1 species